AUGGGGAGCUAUCAAAAAUUAAAAAACAAAGUCACCACUUUCAUGAGGCAAGAGUUGCAGGAGAUGCAGGUGAUGGGGGGAGAUUCGGAGAGCUGGCUUGACUUGUGCGAGGCAGAGUCAGAAAAUUACACUGGUACACAGUCUUUGCACAAGAUUUGUACCGACAUACGACUCCUGGCAAACCUCAAGGAGAUGGAGGAACCCUUCGAAAAACAGCAGAUUGGCUCAAGUGCGAUGCCAUACGAGCGGAACCCUAUGCGCUCAGAGCGGUGCCGCAGCGUCGCCCGUCACCUGAUGACCCUUAUCAUGGACGCGCCGCAGACGGCAUCUCUGCAGGGGUUUGAGCGCACACUGGAUGAUAGUGCCAAUCGACGUAGCUGUUUGGCUGCGGCAUUUCUCACUGCAGAUUCGAUACUGAAUACGCUGCAGAACGUUUCUGAAGGAUUGGUGGUGUACCCUAAAGUAACUGAACGACGCACUCGGCAAGAGCUGCCUUUCAUGACCGCAGAGAACAUCAUCACCGCCGUCGUGAGAGCUGGGGGUAACCGCCAGGACCACCGUGAGAAAAUCAGAGUGCUUUCCCAGCAGGCGGCUGCUGGGGUCAGGCAGGAAGCCGGUGACAAUGACCUCAUAGAGCGAAUCCAGGCCGAUGCCUACUUCAGUCCCAUUCACUCCCAGUUGGACCAUCUACUGGAUCCUUCUUCGUUUACAGGUCGUGCAUCCCAACAGGUGCAGAGAUUCUUAGAAGAGGAGGUAUAUCCCCUGCUGAAACCAUAUGAAAGUGUAAUGAAGGUGAAAACAGAAUUAUGUCUGUAGCGUUGGAAAAAAUGAAACAAGAAGUCGCUGGCUUCAUUAAC